UACGAAGGUGGCAAGCGUUGUUCGGAUUUACUGGGCGUACAGGGAGCGUAGGCGGUUGGAUAAGCCCUCCGUGAAAUCUCCAGGCUUAACCUGGAAAGUGCAGAGGGGACUGUUCAGCUAGAGGAUGGGAGAGGAGCGCGGAAUUCCCGGUGUAGCGGUGAAAUGCGUAGAGAUCGGGAGGAACACCGGUGGCGAAGGCGAGUCCCUGGAAAACACCUGACACUGAGGCACGAAAGCUAGGGGAGCAAACAGG
rnacentral:rRNA from 1 species